AAGACUAUACUUUCAGGGAUCAUUUCUAUAGUAUGUUACUAGAGAAAUCUCACUGAUCGUGUAGAGCACCGAGAACCACGAGGAGGAGAUGAAGCAUUCUCUUCUGAGCGUGAAGCCGGCAUCAGGUGUUGUUUUACUACAACUGCCUUUUGCCAUUGAUGAUCGUUCUUCUCUCUUCUUGUAGAGAGUAAGAGGGAGAGAAUGCAUUCUGAGUGGC